UUUGACUUUUUUUGUUUUAGGUCUCUUUUGGCAUAACAUAAACCCUUCGUGUUUUUUUUCAUUCCCACAAAUUCUGUCUAAAAAUCUCUCUCCUUCAGGCUUCAGCAAAACCCGGCCCCGUCUUCCUCUCCAUCUCUCUCAUUUCCUUCCCCAAACCCCGCAACCUCCCCAACAGCCACCGCAAUCACUUUCAAUCAAAAACCAACUGCCGUCGCCACUGGGUGUGGCAAACCCACCUAAAUCUAGUCGCUAACCCUAAUCCCUCAUUCCCUCAUCCUCUAUUCGAGAUUUUGACUGUCCCUGACCCUCAGCCUCUCUUCGACUCACUCCCUCUGUCCCUCAGUUUCAGUCGCCGCCGACCCACCGCAAAGUUCGACGGUUCGGCCGUAUCUCUAAGCUAGCUCUAACCUCUCAGUCAGUCAUCUCACUCCCUCAGCCUCUCUAAGCUAGCUCCUAUUCGUAAUCUCGAACCGCUGAACCGCCGACCCACGGCUUUGCUUCGACCCACUUCCCUCAUCUGAAAUGUUGUUGGACAAGGAGGUGGCGAAGGAGGUGACGAAGGCGGUGAGGAGGAGUUGUUGGAGAAGAAGGUGACGAAGGCGGCGGAGUCGCUGUCGUCUUGCACACUUAACCCCACGAACCCAACACAUCCAUUUCUCCAGAACGCACUCAACUCCUCCAUCAUCGAUUCCAAGACCAGUGUGUCGUUUCUGUAGGUCCUGGCAGGGACUCGGCGAUUUCUGGGAUUUGGGUUGAUCCCUCUCUUAUGGCAGUCCCUUGACUUUAAGUCAGAAACCCUAAAGGGGUUCCACGACUUCAGCCUCUCGCCACUCUUUUCUUCUCUCGACCUAUCAUUUCAGUCUCUCUCUUUCUUCUCUGGCCUCUCGCCCUCUCUUUCUUCUCUUCGUCAAUCUUCUCAGUUUUCUCUUCGUCAUCGAGAAUUCGAGAUCGUCAAGGAGACUGCCAAGGACUGGAAGGGUCUUCAGUCCUCUCAGUUUUCUCAUCGUCUCUGGUCUCCGCCGCCGCUCCGGUCAUCUAGGCCCUCAAAGAGCUAGAUCGCGACCUCAAGGCCACUUCUGCAGAUCCAGAGCCUCUCUCUCAAGUGUUCGCUGCAGAUCCAGCUUUACUGCUGAAGACAUCAAGCAGCCCAGGGAAUCUGGGGUUGUAAAGGUGUAGUCAAGAAAGAAAGCAGAGAUCUUUUUAAAACGUUCGGGUUCAGCUAAAGCAAAGGAACAGGUUCUCCAGUUUACAAGGAAGUGUCUUCUGGGUGAUUAAGCAAAGAAGAAAAAGACAACUCUGUGUCUUUAUUUAUUUGGGAAUCUUUUCAAACACAUUUCUGUCUAAAUUAAUCAGGAAGUGCCUUCUCGGUGAUUGAACAAACAAAAAGGAGACAACUUUGUGUCUUUGUUUGUUUGGCUAUUGUUAAUCAGACAACAUUUGUGUCUAGGUUAAUCAGCUUAUGUUGUGUUUCUUGGACUGUUUGGAUUUGGUCAGAGGAUGUUUGUGAUAACCAAAUUAUAAUUUGAAAACAGGUAUACAGAAUUUGCUGGGGCAGUUCCUACUAGACCUGCACAGGACAGUCAGGACUUGGCAUUUUCAGUUUCAAGGUUUAUACAAAAUGGUGGUUCUUUUGCCAACUACUACAUGGGUUAUGCAUAUAUACUCACGCAGCCCGGAAUACCUUCCGUUUUCUAUGACCACUUCUAUGAUUCGGGUGAUUCAAUUCAUGAUCAGAUUGUGAAACUGGUACAGCAGUGUAGCUAGGUAGUUCCUUUAUUAACUUGUGUCUAGUAGAUUCUUCAUUCAUUAAGCAUUUGGAUUUGUCUGCAGAUUCAGAUUAGUAGAUAUGAGACAUUUUGAACUGAUCGAUGCUCAUGAUUAGGUUGUGUACAUAAGACAAUGGUGGAUUAAUAGAAAUUGCACUGAAUGAUUUUGGAUGUG
rnacentral:lncRNA from 1 species